rnacentral:rRNA from 1 species
AACGAACGCUGGCGGCAGGCUUAACACAUGCAAGUCGAACGCAUCCUUCGGGGUGAGUGGCAGACGGGUGAGUAACGCGUGGGAACGUGCCCUUCAGUUCGGAAUAACCCAGGGAAACUUGGGCUAAUACCGGAUACGUGCGAGAGCAGAAAGAUUUAUCGCUGAAGGAUCGGCCCGCGUCUGAUUAGCUAGUUGGUGGGGUAAGGGCCCACCAAGGCGACGAUCAGUAGCUGGUCUGAGAGGAUGAUCAGCCACAUUGGGACUGAGACACGGCCCAAACUCCUACGGGAGGCAGCAGUGGGGAAUAUUGGACAAUGGGCGCAAGCCUGAUCCAGCCAUGCCGCGUGAGUGAUGAAGGCCUUAGGGUUGUAAAGCUCUUUCGUCCGGGACGAUAAUGACGGUACCGGAAGAAGAAGCCCCGGCUAACUUCGUGCCAGCAGCCGCAGUAAUAC